ACGCUAGCUACAGGCUUAACACAUGCAAGUCGAGGGGCAGCAUCAUCAAAGCUUGCUUUGAUGGAUGGCGACCGGCGCACGGGUGAGUAACACGUAUCCAACCUGCCGACAACACUGGGAUAGCCUUUCGAAAGAAAGAUUAAUACCGGAUGGCAUAGUUUUCCCGCAUGGGAUAAUUAUUAAAGAAUUUCGGUUGUCGAUGGGGAUGCGUUCCAUUAGGCAGUUGGCGGGGUAACGGCCCACCAAACCGACGAUGGAUAGGGGUUCUGAGAGGAAGGUCCCCCACAUUGGAACUGAGACACGGUCCAAACUCCUACGGGAGGCAGCAGUGAGGAAUAUUGGUCAAUGGACGAGAGUCUGAACCAGCCAAGUAGCGUGAAGGAUGACUGCCCUAUGGGUUGUAAACUUCUUUUAUACGGGAAUAAAGUUAGCCACGUGUGGCUUUUUGUAUGUACCGUAUGAAUAAGGAUCGGCUAACUCCGUGCCAGCAGCCGCGGUAAUACGGAGGAUCCGAGCGUUAUCCGGAUUUAUUGGGUUUAAAGGGAGCGUAGGCGGGUUGUUAAGUCAGUUGUGAAAGUUUGCGGCUCAACCGUAAAAUUGCAGUUGAUACUGGCGACCUUGAGUGCAACAGAGGUAGGCGGAAUUCGUGGUGUAGCGGUGAAAUGCUUAGAUAUCACGAAGAACUCCGAUUGCGAAGGCAGCUUACUGGAUUGUAACUGACGCUGAUGCUCGAAAGUGUGGGUAUCAAACAGGAUUAGAUACCCUGGUAGUCCACACAGUAAACGAUGAAUACUCGCUGUUGGCGAUAUACAGUCAGCGGCCAAGCGAAAGCAUUAAGUAUUCCACCUGGGGAGUACGCCGGCAACGGUGAAACUCAAAGGAAUUGACGGGGGCCCGCACAAGCGGAGGAACAUGUGGUUUAAUUCGAUGAUACGCGAGGAACCUUACCCGGGCUUAAAUUGCAACUGACUGAACCGGAAACGGUUCUUUCUUCGGACAGUUGUGAAGGUGCUGCAUGGUUGUCGUCAGCUCGUGCCGUGAGGUGUCGGCUUAAGUGCCAUAACGAGCGCAACCCUUAUCGAUAGUUACUAGCAGGUCAUGCUGAGGACUCUAUUGAGACUGCCGUCGUAAGAUGUGAGGAAGGUGGGGAUGACGUCAAAUCAGCACGGCCCUUACGUCCGGGGCUACACACGUGUUACAAUGGGGGGUACAGAAGGCAGCUACACGGCGACGUGGUGCUAAUCCCGAAAGCCUCUCUCAGUUCGGAUUGGAGUCUGCAACCCGACUCCAUGAAGCUGGAUUCGCUAGUAAUCGCGCAUCAGCCACGGCGCGGUGAAUACGUUCCCGGGCCUUGUACACACCGCCCGUCAAGCCAUGAAAGCCGGGGGUACCUGAAGUACGUAACCGCAAGGAGCGUCCUAGGGUAAAACUGGUGAUUGGGGCUA
rnacentral:rRNA from 1 species